rnacentral:lncRNA from 1 species
GAAUUUAAACCAAGGAAAGUAGGGGAUGUUAGAGACAGAGGAUUUUGGUGGUUAUGAUAAUAAUUUGUAAGGUGAAGGUAUGCGGUUUUUAUAAGGUUGCCUUAUAUUUUUGUAGGAUUAUUUAUUUUCUCUUUUUCUUUAUUUAAUAAUUUUCUUAAUUAUCUUUCCUUUUUUUUUUAUCUCGCAGUGAGAGAAGUAAGAGGCAAGUAUUGCUCACUCCACCUUCCAAUAUUGAUAUGAAAUAAUUUGACUCUGCGGUCGUGAAAGAGUUUCUAAUCACUAUAAAGUCCUUUGCUGUUAUCUAUAUUGGCCAAGAAGAUGUGAACUAUAUAAGCAGAAGACCGUAAAUCGUAAAUGACAACAUAUGAUUUAGAAUUGAUUACACAUAAUUUAGAAUGACUUGCUACUUGCGUCUCAAAUCCAAAUGAACUCACAAGAGAAGUGGAGGAGUUGCAUACAAGCGUAGAAAGCCUCUAUGAGUAGAUUACUCCUAUUGGUUGAAAUCAUUCCCCUAUGAAGAACUCUCUAUCCUUAGUCAGUAGAGCACUUUGCCCAAUUCUCUAGAUGGAUAUUGCCUCUCUCCUUCAUCCACAAUCUCAAUCUCUAUGUGGAUGAUUGUUCUCUAAAUGGAUAUUACCUCUCUCCGUCACCCAUAAUCUCAAUCUCUAUGUGGAUGAUUGACUGAACCAAUUUCUAGUGAGGAUAUUUGUGAUCCCAUCAACGAAAUUCUGCUACGUAUAUAUUAUGUUGCCGGAUAAUCUUGAUCUUCACCGGCAUCUAUUUUGCUAAUAGACGAUGUCGAUCUUGACCUCGAUUAUUUUCUGGACUUUUGUACUUAACCUUUGCUUUUGCUUUAAAUUUAUUGUAUCAAAC